UCCGGUUUGUCACCGGCAGUCUCCUUAGAGUGCCCUUGCGUAGCAACUAAGGACAAGGGUUGCGCUCGUUGCGGGACUUAACCCAACAUCUCACGACACGAGCUGACGACAGCCAUGCAGCACCUGUGUUCCGGUUCCCUUGCGGGCACAACCGCCUUUCAGCAGCCUUCCGGACAUGUCAAGGGUAGGUAAGGUUGUUCGCGUUGCAUCGAAUUAAUCCACAUCAUCCACCGCUUGUGCGGGUCCCCGUCAAUUCCUUUGAGUUUUAAUCUUGCGACCGUACUCCCCAGGCGGUCAACUUCACGCGUUAGCUGCGGUACCAAGAACUUGCGCUCCCAACACCUAGUUGACAUCGUUUAGGGCGUGGACUAC
rnacentral:misc_RNA from 1 species